GAGAGAGAGAGAGAGAGAGAGAGAGACGGGGCCCGGUGUAUUAUAGGGGGGUCCUCCGGCAGACUAGGCCUAAGUCAGCCUAACUAGGGGCUGGUACAGGGCAAGCCUGAGCCAGCCCUAACUAUAAGCUUCAUCAAAAAGGAAAGUCUUAAGUCUAGUCUUAAAUGUGGAGACGGUGUCUGCCUCCCGGACCGUAACAGGAAGAUGAUUCCACAGGAGAGGAGCCUGAUAGCUGAAGGCUCUGGCUCCUGAUCUACUUUUGGAGACUUUAGGGACCACGAGUAACCCUGCGUUCUCAGAGCGCAGUGUUCUGGUGGGAUAAUAUGGCACUAUGAGCUCUCUAAGAUAUGACGGAGCUUGACCAUUUAGAGCUUUAUAAGUUAACAGUAGGAUUUUAAAUUCAAUUCUGGAUUUUACAGGGAGCCAGUGCAGAGAAGCUAAAACAGGAGAAAUAUGAUCUCGUUUCUUAGUUCCUGUUAGUACACGUGCUGCUGCAUUCUGAAUUAGCUGGAGAGUUUUUAAGGACUUACUAGAGCUACCUGAUAAUAGAGAGUUACAGUAAUCCAGCCUCGAGGUAACAAAUGCGUGGACCAAUUUUUCUGCAUCUUUUCGGGUCAGGAUAGGCCUAAUUUUCACAAUAUUACGCGGAUGAAAAAAUGCAGUCCAUGAGGUUUUAAAUGAGAAUUAAAAGACAAAUCUUGAUCAAAUGUUACUCCGAGGUUUCUUACGGUAGUGCUAGAGGCCAGAGCAAUGCCAUCUAGAGAAACUAUGUCAUCAGAUAAAGAGUCUCUGAGUUGUUUGGGGCCAAGAACAAUAACUUCAGUUUUGUCUGAAUUUAACAUCAGGAAAUUGGUGCUCAUCCAGUUUUUUAUGUCUUUAAGGCAGUUAUGGAGUUUAGUUAAUUGAUUACUGUUUUCUGGCUUCAUGGAUAAAUACAACUGAGUAUCAUCCGCAUAACAAUGGAAAUUUACAGAGUGAUUUCUAAUGAUGUUACCUAAAGGAAGCAUAUAUAGAGUAAAAAGGAUUGGUCCGGGCACAGAACCUUGUGUUCAUUACUAUGCUAAAAAAUGUAAUAGUACAGUAUGUCGUCCAAAAUCAUGAAAAAAGUCAUAGUAUAGCGUGUCGUCCGAAAUCAUGAAAAAAAGUCAUAGUAUAGCAUGUUGUCCGAAAUCAUGAAAAAAAGUCGUAGUCAUCGGAAAUCAUGAAAAAAAGUCAUAGUAUAGCAUGUCAUCAAAAAUCACGGAAAAAAGUCAAAGUAUAGCAUGUCGUUUAAAACCAUGAAAAAAGUCACAGUAUAGCAUGUCAUCAAAAAUCACAGAAAAAAGUCAUAGAAUAGCAUGUCGUCCAAAAUCAUGAAAAAAAGUCAUAGUAUAGCGUGUCGUCCGAAAUCAUGAAAAAAACGUCAUAGUAUAGCAUGUUAUCAAAAAUCACGGAAAAAAGUCAUAGUAUAGCAUGUCGUUAAAAAACAUGAAAAAAAAGUCAUAGUAUAGCAUGUGGUCCGAAAUCAUGAAAAAACGUCAUAGUAUAGCAUGUCGUCCAAAAUCAUGAAAAAACGUCAUAGUAUAGCAUGUGGUCCGAAAUCAUGAAAAAAAGUCAUAGUAUAGCAUGUCGUCCGAAAUCAUGAAAAAAAGUCAUAGUAUAGCAUGUCGUCCGACAUCAUGAAAAAAAGUCAUAGUAUAGCAUGUUGUCCAAAAUCAUGAAAAGAAGUCAUAGUAUAGCAUGUCGUCCGACAUCAUGAAAAAAAGUCAUAGUAUAGCAUGUGGUCCGAAAUCAUGAAAAAACGUCAUAGUAUAGCAUGUCGUCCAAAAUCAUGAAAAAAAGUCAUAGUAUAGCAUGUGGUCCGAAAUCAUGAAAAAAACUCAUAGUAUAGCAUGUCGUCCGAAAUCAUGAAAAAAAGUCAUAGUAUAGCAUGUCGUCCGAAAUCAUGAAAAAAAGUCAUAGUAUAGCAUGUGGUCCGAAAUCAUGAAAAAAAGUCAUAGUAUAGCAUGUCGUCCAAAAUCAUGAAAAAAGUCAUAGUAUAGCAUGUUGUCCAAAAUCAUGAAAAAAAGUCAUAGUAUAGCAUGUCGUCCAAAAUCAUGAAAAAAAGUCAUAGUCGUCCAAAAUUAUGAAAACAGUCAUAGUAUAGCAUGUCAUCCGAAAUCAUGAAAAAAAAGUCAUAGUAUAGCAUGUCGUCCGAAAUCAUGAAAAAAAAGUCAUAGUAUAGCAUGUCGUCCGAAAUCAUGAAAAAAAAGUCAUAAUAUAGCAUGUCGUCCAAAAUCAUGAAAAAAAAUCAUAAUAUAGAAUGUCGUCCAAAAUCAUGAAAAAAAGUCAUAGUCGUCCAAAAUUAUGAAAACAGUCAUAGUAUAGCAUGUCAUCCGAAAUCAUGAAAAAAAAGUCAUAGUAUAGCAUGUCGUCCGAAAUCAUAAAAAAAAUCAUAGUAUAGCAUGUCGUCCGAAAUCAUGAAAAAAAAGUCAUAGUAUAGCAUGUCGUCCGAAAUCAUGAAAAAAAAGUCAUAGGAUAGCAUGUCGUCCGAAAUCAUGAAAAAAAAGUCAUAAUAUAGCAUGUCGUCCGAAAUCAUGAAAAAAAAGUCAUAGUAUAGCAUGUCGUCCAAAAUCAUGAAAAAAAGUCAUAGUAUAGCAUGUCGUCCAAAAUCAUGAAAAAAAGUCAUAAUAUAGCAUGUCGUCAAAAUUAAUGAAAAAAAGUCAUAGUAUAGCAUGUCGUCCAAAAUCAUGAAAAAAAGUCAUAGUAUAGCAUGUCGUCCAAAAUCAUGAAAAAAAAAAGUCAUAGUAUAGCAUGUCGUCCAAAAUCAUGAAAAAACUUCAUAGUAUAGCAUGUCGUCCAAAAUCAUGAAAAAAAGUCAUAGUAUAGCAUGUCGUCCAAAAUCAUGAAAAAAAGUCAUAGUCGUCCAAAAUUAUGAAAACAGUCAUAGUAUAGCAUGUCAUCCGAAAUCAUGAAAAAAAAGUCAUAGUAUAGCAUGUCGUCCGAAAUCAUGAAAAAAACUCAUAGUAUAGCAUGUCGUCCGAAAUCAUGAAAAAAAAGUCAUAAUAUAGCAUGUCGUCCGAAAUCAUGAAAAAAAGUCAUAGUAUAGCAUGUCGUCCAAAAUCAUGAAAAAGCAUGUCGUCCAAAAUCAUGAAAAAAAGUCAUAGGAUAGCAUGUCGUCCGAAAUCAUGAAAAAAAGUCAUAAUAUAGCAUGUCGUCCAAAAUCAUGAAAAAAAGUCAUAGUCGUCCAAAAUUAUGAAAACAGUCAUAGUAUAGCAUGUCAUCCGAAAUCAUGAAAAAAAGUCAUAGUAUAGCAUGUCGUCCGAAAUCAUGAAAAAAGUCAUAGUAUAGCAUGUCGUCCGAAAUCAUGAAAAAAGUCAUAGUAUAGCAUGUCAUCCAAAAUCAUGAAAAAAAAGUCAUAGUAUGGCAUGUGGUCCGAAAUCAUGAAAAAAAGUCACAGUAUAGCAUGUGGUCCGAAAUCAUGAAAAAACGUCAUAGUAUAGCAUGUCGUCCAAAAUCAUGAAAAAAGUCAUAGUAUAGCAUGUGGUCCGAAAUCAUGAAAAAAAAGUCAUAGUAUAGCAUGUCGUCCGAAAUCAUGAAAAAAAAGUCAUAGUAUAGCAUGUCGUCCAAAAUCAUGAAAAAAGUCAUAGUAUAGCAUGUGGUCCAAAAUCAUGAAAAAAAAGUCAUAGUAUAGCAUGUU